GCUUUUGUAGUGUAAUUGGAAGCAUGCUCGACGUAUAUUCGAGAUGUCCAGGGUUCGAGUCCCGGCGAGAGCA